rnacentral:rRNA from 1 species
AAGCGGAGGAAAAGAAACCAACAGGGAUUGCCUUAGUAACGGCGAGUGAAGCGGCAACAGCUCAAAUUUGAAAUCUGGCCCUCGGGUCCGAAUUGUAAUUUGUAGAGGAUGAUUUUGGUGCGGUAUCUUCCGAGUUCCUUGGAACAGGACGCCUUAGAGGGUGAGAGCCCCGUACGGUUGAAUGCCUAGCCUCUGUAAAUCUCCUUCGACGAGUCGAGUAGUUUGGGAAUGCUGCUCUAAAUGGGAGGUAAAUUUCUUCUAAAGCUAAAUAUUGGCCAGAGACCGAUAGCGCACAAGUAGAGUGAUCGAAAGAUGAAAAGCACUUUGAAAAGAGGGUUAAAUAGCACGUGAAAUUGUUGAAAGGGAAGGAUUUGUGACCAGACUUUUUCUGGGCGGAUCAUCCGGGGUUCUCUCCGGUGCACUUUGCCCAGUAAAGGCCAGCAUCGAUUUUCGGCGGCGGAUAAAAGCAGUGGGAAUGUGGCUCCCUACGGGGAGUGUUAUAGCCCAUUGUAUAAUACGCUGCUGGGGAUCGAGGUACGCGCUUCUGCAAGGAUGCUGGCGUAAUGGUUAUCAAUCACCCGUCUUGAAACACGGACCAAGGAGUCGAACAUUUAUGCGAGUGUUUGGGUGUUAAACCCUCACGCGUAAUGAAAGUGAACGGAGGUGAGAGCCCGUACGGGUGCAUCAUCGACCGAUCCUGAAGUUUUCGGAUGGAUUUGAGUAAGAGCAUAACUGUUCGGACCCGAAAGAUGGUGAACUAUGCGUGGAUAGGGUGAAGCCAGAGGAAACUCUGGUGGAGGCUCGCAGCGGUUCUGACGUGCAAAUCGAUCGUCAAAUCUGCGCAUGGGGGCGAAAGACUAAUCGAACCAUCUAGUAGCUGGUUACCGCC